AAAUGAGUGGUCAGCUAGCUGGUGUGAAGAUUAAAUUGUUAUGGGCAAGCUGGUUAUUGAGUGAGAUCUAGGUCCCAUGUACUUCUAGGUCUUGAAGAAUAGGAAUGUAAAAAGGUCCAGCAUGUUGUAAUUACUGGCCAUUAAGAUAAUCAGGGUUAAAUAAAUAAAACCUGCAGAUUGGUAAUUGUAGUUAACAGCUGUAGUGCAUAUCAUGUCAUCAGACAUAUGCUAGGCCAGAUCCAGGGUACAAAGUAUCAGGAUAAUUGAAGGAAAAGAUUGUAGAAAAAAAAAGAAGAAAUACAUUUUCUAAAUCCUAGGAAUGGUGGAACCGUGAAAAUAAUUAGGUGGUUUGGAGGGUUGCUCUCUAACUCUCCUUUAGUUACCAAAUAAUACUAUUUACCUGUCUUCUGCAGGCCUACAAUAACACUGUGCCAAUUUUAACCUAUGUUAACUUAUUGUUCAUACAGGUAAUAUUUCAAAAUAAUAAUAUAAAAAACCCAAUAUAUGGUGCACCUAACCUUAAC